GCUGCUUCCGCCGGGGGAGGCGAGCGCGCGUGCUUCGUAGCGAGCGGAGCCUUGGCCGUGGAGCGCGAGCCGCCCGCCCGUUCUGGCCCGGCCCGGCGGCGGCGGCGGCGUGGAACCCCUCGGCCGGGGCUCCGGAAAGCUCUCCCGGGGGUGGGGGGCGGGCUGCAGGGAUGCGCUGGGCCCGGUGGUCCCCAGUGCCGGCCGUGCACACACGAGGCCACCCGCUGAGGCCCCGGCGACCGGACGGAGUCGCGCGGUAGCUGCUUUGUGCUCCCAGGAGAGUUCCCGGUGAGCCAGGUCACCGGCGGGAAGACUGGCGCCUGUGCCCUGCAUGAGAACCAGGCCCUGCGCCUGUCGGGUUUGACUCUGGGGGAUCUCGGGGGUGUUCUCCAGCUUAAGACUGCUCUCUGAUGGCUUUGUAAAUAAAUGGCGUGUGACCACA